ensembl:lncRNA
UCAGUGUAAACCUACUCAUGGGAGACACCCAGCAGGAGAGAAUGUUGGGAGGAAGAUAAUUAAAGUCACAACACAAUCUGCUAGGCACUCCUGUGAGGACUUUGAUGGUUUGAAGUGGGAAGACCCACCAUGGCAACCCAUAGCAAAGGAAGGAUGUGGAAGAAGGAAACUUUUCUUCUUGCUUUCACUUCUGGCAAGUUCGUCUGUCGUGUUGCUGCAGCAUUAGACCAGAGCUCUCCAGGAGUCCUCUCGUGCCCCAGGUCGGACUGCCGAGACUUCGUGCCUCAUGAACUGAACAGCCAGGGUUUUGGCCUUUGAUGCCAGACAGUUAGUGUUGGAAUGCCUGGACUAUAAUGUAAGCCAAUCUAAUAAGCCUCCUUAUGACAUUAAUUCCCUUUAUUCUGUUCCAUAAAGAACCAUAGUACAACCCUUGGAAUCCAUGGGAAGUCAUUAGAGGUUAAGAAUCUGUUAUGGCUUCAAAUGUGUCCUCCCCAGACAUCCAUGUUGUGAACGUAGCAGCCAGGGUAACAGUAUUAGGCGGAGCUUAGCUGGGGUUGUUCGUAGCUGGGUGGUUGAGCUCCUGCCCUCCCAAGACAACCCUUUGAUCUCCGAACUUCCCAGGCUCCGGAUCUGUAAAGCCGUUACACUCUCUUUUUAAACAAUGCUUUCUCAGCUAACAGUAGCACAAAGUACACUAACACAGCCCAGAAGUUUGAGGCUGCGCUAUAUGCAGUGGUGU